rnacentral:rRNA from 1 species
CAGUGAAAUGUGAUAAGUAAUGUGAAUCGCAGAAUUCAGUGAAUCAUCAAAUUUUUGAACGCACCUUGCACCUUUUGGUAUUCCAAAAGGUACACCUGUUUGAGUGUCAUGA